rnacentral:rRNA from 1 species
ACGCUCGACACCUACGAGAGGCAGCAGUGGGGAAUAUUGCACAAUGGGGGAAACCCUGAUGCAGCGACGCCGCGUGGAGGAAGAAGGUCUUCGGAUUGUAAACUCCUGUUGUUGGGGAAAAAGNGGAUGGUACCCAACAAGGAAGUGACGGCUAACUACGUGCCAGCAGCCGCGGUAAUCUGAGCGGGCUGGCAAGGC